rnacentral:siRNA from 1 species
GGUGAUGGAGAGAGAUGUGAUUGA